AAUCUUGUGGAAAAUUACUUGUUCAUAGGUAUACUGGAGAUCGUAGCGGCACGGGUAGUUUGACUAAGCAUAUAAAAUUACACCCUAGAGAUAAGGUUAGAUAUUUGCAAAUGAAAGCGCAACAAGAGGGGAGGACAAGUGUUGAUUCUCAAGUUAACCCAAGUACUGGUUAAAAUCUAGUUCAACUAGGAAUAAACACUGUCACCGGAGUUUGACUAAGCAUAUAAAAUUACACCCUAGAGAUAAGGCUAGAUAUUUGCAAAUGAAAGGGAAACAAGAGGGGAGGACAAGUGUUGAUUCUCAAGUUAUCCCAAGUACUGGUUCAAAUCUAGUUCAACCAGGAAUAAACACUGUCACCGGAUGUAUUUUAUAUUACGAUCCAAAUAAGGAUCGUGAAGAAUUAGCGAAAAUAAUUACUGUUAUGUGCUUGCCUUAUAGUUUUGCUUCUAAUCCUAAUUGGAUUCAAUAUAUUAGAAAAGUAUUUAAUCCUACUUAUAAAGGUUGGCCUCGCGCAACAGUUAAGGC
rnacentral:lncRNA from 1 species